GGCGAACGGGUGAGUAACACGUGGGCAAUCUGCCCUUCACUCUGGGACAAGCCCUGGAAACGGGGUCUAAUACCGGAUAACACUUCCACUCUCCUGGGUGGAGGUUAAAAGCUCCGGCGGUGAAGGAUGAGCCCGCGGCCUAUCAGCUUGUUGGUGAGGUAAUGGCUCACCAAGGCGGCGACGGGUAGCCGGCCUGAGAGGGCGACCGGCCACACUGGGACUGAGACACGGCCCAGACUCCUACGGGAGGCAGCAGUGGGGAAUAUUGCACAAUGGGCGAAAGCCUGAGGGGGGCGGCGCCGCGUGAGGGAUGACGGCCU
rnacentral:rRNA from 1 species